rnacentral:rRNA from 1 species
GAUGAACGCUGGCGGCGUGCCUAAUACAUGCAAGUCGAGCGAACAGACGAGGAGCUUGCUCCUCUGACGUUAGCGGCGGACGGGUGAGUAACACGUGGAUAACCUACCUAUAAGACUGGGAUAACUUCGGGAAACCGGAGCUAAUACCGGAUAAUAUAUUGAACCGCAUGGUUCAAUAGUGAAAGACGGUUUUGCUGUCACUUAUAGAUGGAUCCGCGCCGCAUUAGCUAGUUGGUAAGGUAACGGCUUACCAAGGCAACGAUGCGUAGCCGACCUGAGAGGGUGAUCGGCCACACUGGAACUGAGACACGGUCCAGACGCCUACGGGAGGCAGCAGUAGGGAAUCUUCCGCAAUGGGCGAAAGCCUGACGGAGCAACGCCGAGUGAGUGAUGAAGGUCUUCGGAUCGUAAAACUCUGUUAUUAGGGAAGAACAAAUGUGUAAGUAACUAUGCACGGCUUGACGGUACCUAAUCAGAAAGCCACGGCUAACUACGUG